rnacentral:sRNA from 1 species
UAACUCCGAGCACACGGCCGUCAUCAGCCUCUGCUCAGGAAUGCUGGGCACAUUCCGGUCUCAUGAUGGGGAUUAUUUUAUUGAACCACUACAGUCCAUGGAUGAACAAGAAGAUGAAGAGGAACAAAACAAACCCCACAUCAUUUAUAGGCGCAGCGCCCCCCAGAGAGAGCCCUCAACAGGAAGGCAUGCAUGUGACACCUCAGAACACAAAAAUAGGCACCGUAAAGACAAGAAGAAAACCAGAGCAAGAAAAUGGGGAGAAAGGAUUAACCUGGCUGAUGACAUGGCAGCAUUAAACAGCGGCUUAGCAACAGAGGCAUUUUCUGCUUAUGGUAAUAAGACGGACAACACAAGAGAAAAGAGGACCCACAGAAGGACAAAACGUUUUUUAUCCUAUCCACGGUUUGUAGAAGUCUUGGUGGUGGCAGACAACAGAAUGGUUUCAUACCAUGGAGAAAACCUUCAACACUAUAUUUUAACUUUAAUGUCAAUUGUAGCCUCUAUCUAUAAAGACCCAAGUAUUGGAAAUUUAAUUAAUAUUGUUAUUGUGAACUUAAUUGUGAUUCAUAAUGAACAGGAUGGGCCUUCCAUAUCUUUUAAUGCUCAGACAACAUUAAAAAACUUUUGCCAGUGGCAGCAUUCGAAGAACAGUCCAGGUGGAAUCCAUCAUGAUACUGCUGUUCUCUUAACAAGACAGGAUAUCUGCAGAGCUCACGACAAAUGUGAUACCUUAGGCCUGGCUGAACUGGGAACCAUUUGUGAUCCCUACAGAAGCUGUUCUAUUAGUGAAGAUAGUGGAUUGAGUACAGCUUUUACGAUCGCCCAUGAGCUGGGCCACGUGUUUAACAUGCCUCAUGAUGACAACAACAAAUGUAAAGAAGAAGGAGUUAAGAGUCCCCAGCAUGUCAUGGCUCCAACACUGAACUUCUACACCAACCCCUGGAUGUGGUCAAAGUGUAGUCGAAAAUAUAUCACUGAGUUUUUAGACACUGGUUAUGGCGAGUGUUUGCUUAACGAACCUGAAUCCAGACCCUACCCUUUGCCUGUCCAACUGCCAGGCAUCCUUUACAACGUGAAUAAACAAUGUGAAUUGAUUUUUGGACCAGGUUCUCAGGUGUGCCCAUAUAUGAUGCAGUGUAGACGGCUCUGGUGCAAUAACGUCAACGGAGUACACAAAGGCUGCCGGACUCAGCACACACCCUGGGCCGAUGGGACGGAGUGCGAGCCUGGAAAGCACUGCAAGUAUGGAUUUUGUGUUCCCAAAGAAAUGGAUGUCCCUGUGACAGAUGGAUCCUGGGGAAGUUGGAGUCCCUUUGGAACCUGCUCCAGAACAUGUGGAGGAGGCAUCAAAACAGCCAUUCGAGAGUGCAACAGACCAGAACCAAAAAAUGGUGGAAAAUACUGUGUAGGACGUAGAAUGAAAUUUAAGUCCUGCAACACGGAGCCAUGUCUCAAGCAGAAGCGAGACUUCCGAGAUGAACAGUGUGCUCACUUUGACGGGAAGCAUUUUAACAUCAAUGGUCUGCUUCCCAAUGUGCGCUGGGUCCCUAAAUACAGUGGAAUUCUGAUGAAGGACCGGUGCAAGUUGUUCUGCAGAGUGGCAGGGAACACAGCCUACUAUCAGCUUCGAGACAGAGUGAUAGAUGGAACUCCUUGUGGCCAGGACACAAAUGAUAUCUGUGUCCAGGGCCUUUGCCGGCAAGCUGGAUGCGAUCAUGUUUUAAACUCAAAAGCCCGGAGAGAUAAAUGUGGGGUUUGUGGUGGCGAUAAUUCUUCAUGCAAAACAGUGGCAGGAACAUUUAAUACAGUACAUUAUGGUUACAAUACUGUGGUCCGAAUUCCAGCUGGUGCUACCAAUAUUGAUGUGCGGCAGCACAGUUUCUCAGGGGAAACAGAUGAUGACAACUACUUAGCUUUAUCAAGCAGUAAAGGUGAAUUCUUGCUAAAUGGAAACUUUGUUGUCACAAUGGCCAAAAGGGAAAUUCGCAUUGGGAAUGCUGUGGUAGAGUACAGUGGGUCCGAGACUGCCGUAGAAAGAAUUAACUCAACAGAUCGCAUUGAGCAAGAACUUUUGCUUCAGGUUUUGUCGGUGGGAAAGUUAUACAACCCCGACGUACGCUAUUCUUUCAAUAUUCCAAUUGAAGAUAAACCUCAGCAGUUUUACUGGAACAGUCAUGGGCCGUGGCAAGCAUGCAGUAAACCCUGCCAAGGGGAACGGAAACGAAAACUUGUUUGCACCAGGGAAUCUGAUCAGCUUACUGUUUCUGAUCAAAGAUGCGAUCGGCUGCCCCAGCCUGGACCCAUUACUGAACCCUGCGGCACAGACUGUGACCUGAGGUGGCAUGUUGCCAGCAGGAGUGAAUGUAGUGCCCAGUGUGGCUUGGGUUACCGCACAUUGGACAUCUACUGUGCCAAAUAUAGCAGGCUGGAUGGGAAGACCGAGAAGGUUGAUGACGGUUUUUGCAGCAGUCAUCCCAAACCAAGCAACCGUGAAAAAUGCUCAGGGGAAUGUAACACGGGUGGCUGGCGCUAUUCUGCCUGGACUGAAUGUUCUAAAAGCUGUGAUGGUGGGACCCAGAGAAGAAGGGCUAUUUGUGUCAAUAACCGAAAUGAUGUACUGGAUGACAGCAAAUGCACACAUCAAGAGAAAGUUACCAUUCAGAGGUGCAAUGAGUUCCCUUGUCCACGGUGGAAAUCUGGAGACUGGUCAGAGUGCUUGGUCACCUGUGGAAAAGGGCAUAAGCACCGCCAGGUCUGGUGUCAGUUUGGUGAAGAUCGAUUAAAUGAUAGAAUGUGUGACCCUGAGACCAAGCCAACAUCUAUGCAGACUUGUCAGCAGCCGGAAUGUGCAUCCUGGCAGGCGGGUCCCUGGGGACAGUGCAGUGUCACUUGUGGACAGGGAUACCAGCUGAGAGCAGUGAAAUGCAUCAUUGGGACUUAUAUGUCAGUGGUAGAUGACAAUGACUGUAAUGCAGCAACUAGACCAACUGAUACCCAGGACUGUGAAUUACCAUCUUGUCAUCCUCCUCCAGCUGCCCCGGAAACGAGGAGAAGCACAUACAGUGCACCAAGAACCCAGUGGCGAUUUGGGUCUUGGACCCCAUGCUCAGCCACUUGUGGGAAAGGUACCCGGAUGAGAUAUGUCAGCUGCCGAGAUGAGAAUGGCUCUGUGGCUGACGAGAGUGCCUGUGCUACCCUGCCUAGACCAGUGGCAAAGGAAGAAUGUUCUGUGACACCCUGUGGGCAAUGGAAGGCCUUGGACUGGAGCUCUUGCUCUGUGACCUGUGGGCAAGGUAGGGCAACCCGGCAAGUGAUGUGUGUCAACUACAGUGACCACGUGAUCGAUCGGAGUGAGUGUGACCAGGAUUAUAUCCCAGAAACUGACCAGGACUGUUCCAUGUCACCAUGCCCUCAAAGGACCCCAGACAGUGGCUUAGCUCAGCACCCCUUCCAAAAUGAGGACUAUCGUCCCCGGAGCGCCAGCCCCAGCCGCACCCACGUGCUCGGUGGAAACCAGUGGAGAACUGGCCCCUGGGGAGCAUGUUCCAGUACCUGUGCUGGCGGAUCCCAGCGGCGUGUUGUUGUAUGUCAGGAUGAAAAUGGAUACACCGCAAACGACUGUGUGGAGAGAAUAAAACCUGAUGAGCAAAGAGCCUGUGAAUCCGGCCCUUGUCCUCAGUGGGCUUAUGGCAGCUGGGGAGAGUGCACUAAGCUGUGUGGUGGAGGCAUAAGAACAAGACUGGUGGUCUGUCAGAGGUCCAACGGCGAACGGUUUCCAGAUUUGAGCUGUGAAAUUCUUGAUAAACCUCCUGAUCGUGAGCAGUGUAACACAAAUGCUUGUCCACACGACGCUGCAUGGAGUACUGGCCCUUGGAGCUCGUGUUCUGUCUCUUGUGGUCGAGGGCAUAAACAACGAAAUGUUUACUGCAUGGCAAAAGAUGGAAGCCAUUUAGAGAGUGAUUACUGUAAACACCUGGCUAAGCCACAUGGGCACAGAAAGUGCCGAGGAGGAAGAUGCCCCAAAUGGAAAGCUGGCGCUUGGAGUCAGUGCUCUGUGUCCUGUGGCCGAGGCGUACAGCAGAGGCAUGUGGGCUGUCAGAUCGGAACACACAAAAUAGCCAGAGAGACCGAGUGCAACCCGUACACCAGACCGGAGUCGGAACGUGACUGCCAAGGCCCACGGUGUCCCGUCUACACUUGGAGGGCAGAGGAAUGGCAAGAAUGUACCAAGACCUGCGGCGAAGGCUCCAGGUACCGCAAGGUGGUGUGUGUGGAUGACAACAAAAACGAGGUGCAUGGUGCACGCUGUGACGUGAGCAAGCGGCCGUCGGACCGCGAAAGCUGUAGUUUGCAACCCUGCGAGUAUGUCUGGAUCACAGGAGAAUGGUCAGAGGUACCGUCCUGGGGACUGUAACCAUCGUCAGCUCAGCCAUGGCCUGAGAGCGGCAGAGGGAUGAGUGCAGGAAUGUGGGAGACUUGAGGCUACCCGCCCGAUCUGCCACUGUGAACUGUGUGUUUUCUGACAAGUCCUCAGCUUUCCCAAACUAGAAUUCCUUGUAUGCAAAGUGGGAGAGAUGUGUGAGAUGGUCUCUAAGUCCCUUCAGGUCUACAUUCUGUGAUUCACCUUGAUGUCCUAUUGGCAUAAAGAAGAAAUUAUUACGGGUGCUGCAAACUCAUAGGAUGCUUUGAGGUGCCUGAAGACAGUUAAGUAUAAGAAAAUAUUGUAGUGCCAGGGAUACAACAGGGAGAGGUGGCAACUGUGACAAACUAGCACAUGCUGUGUGAAGGGAGCAGAAUCUCUUUCACUCCAGCUGGGGCCAUGCAGAAAUGUGGUCUAGCGUUACCAAACCUGAUAUUUCAAGAGAGGCUAAAAAUCUGGACUAGUAGAUGAGAUUUCCUAACUUGAAAACGGGGGCUCAAAUUUUUGCUUUUAAAACAUUGUAAGGGGCAAACAAACCCCUUUUAUAAACCAGAUGUGUUUUGCCUGUUUAACAAACAGCUUCAGAGGAAGAAAAUAAUUUUCUAUAAUAUCCACAUUAUCUCAAGUACCAUUUUUUCAUGUAUCCUCCUGUGUACAAUGCUUAUCUAGACCCUUUUUAAUGGUAAUAAGCCAGUAGUAAUCAU